rnacentral:tRNA from 1 species
GCCUGGGUGGCUUGGUCGGUUAAGCGUCCGACUUCGGCUCAGGUCAUGAUCUCACGGUCCGUGGGUUCGAGCCCCAUGUCGGGCU